rnacentral:rRNA from 1 species
GAUGAACGCUGGCGGCGUGCCUAAUACAUGCAAGUCGAGCGAACGGACGAGAAGCUUGCUUCUCUGAUGUUAGCGGCGGACGGGUGAGUAACACGUGGAUAACCUACCUAUAAGACUGGGAUAACUUCGGGAAACCGGAGCUAAUACCGGAUAAUAUUUUGAACCGCAUGGUUCAAAAGUGAAAGACGGUCUUGCUGUCACUUAUAGAUGGAUCCGCGCUGCAUUAGCUAGUUGGUAAGGUAACGGCUUACCAAGGCAACGACGCAUAGCCGACCUGAGAGGGUGAUCGGCCACACUGGAACUGAGACACGGUCCAGACUCCUACGGGAGGCAGCAGUAGGGAAUCUUCCGCAAUGGGCGAAAGCCUGACGGAGCAACGCCGCGUGAGUGAUGAAGGUCUUCGGAUCGUAAAACUCUGUUAUUAGGGAAGAACAUAUGUGUAAGUAACUGUGCACAUCUUGACGGUACCUAAUCAGAAAGCCACGGCUAACUACGUGCCAGCAGCCGCGGUAAUACGUAGGUGGCAAGCGUUAUCCGGAAUUAUUGGGCGUAAAGCGCGCGUAGGCGGUUUUUUAAGUCUGAUGUGAAAGCCCACGGCUCAACCGUGGAGGGUCAUUGGAAACUGGAAAACUUGAGUGCAGAAGAGGAAAGUGGAAUUCCAUGUGUAGCGGUGAAAUGCGCAGAGAUAUGGAGGAACACCAGUGGCGGAGGCGACUUUCUGGUCUGUAACUGACGCUGAUGUGCGAAAGCGUGGGGAUCAAACAGGAUUAGAUACCCUGGUAGUCCACGCCGUAAACGAUGAGUGCUAAGUGUUAGGGGGUUUCCGCCCCUUAGUGCUGCAGCUAACGCAUUAAGCACUCCGCCUGGGGAGUACGACCGCAAGGUUGAAACUCAAAGGAAUUGACGGGGACCCGCACAAGCGGUGGAGCAUGUGGUUUAAUUCGAAGCAACGCGAAGAACCUUACCAAAUCUUGACAUCCUUUGACAACUCUAGAGAUAGAGCCUUCCCCUUCGGGGGACAAAGUGACAGGUGGUGCAUGGUUGUCGUCAGCUCGUGUCGUGAGAUGUUGGGUUAAGUCCCGCAACGAGCGCAACCCUUAAGCUUAGUUGCCAUCAUUAAGUUGGGCACUCUAAGUUGACUGCCGGUGACAAACCGGAGGAAGGUGGGGAUGACGUCAAAUCAUCAUGCCCCUUAUGAUUUGGGCUACACACGUGCUACAAUGGACAAUACAAAGGGCAGCGAAACCGCGAGGUCAAGCAAAUCCCAUAAAGUUGUUCUCAGUUCGGAUUGUAGUCUGCAACUCGACUACAUGAAGCUGGAAUCGCUAGUAAUCGUAGAUCAGCAUGCUACGGUGAAUACGUUCCCGGGUCU